rnacentral:rRNA from 1 species
AUUGAACGCUGGCGGCAUGCUUUACACAUGCAAGUCGAACGGUAACAGGUUAAGCUGACGAGUGGCGAACGGGUGAGUAAUGCAUCGGAACGUGCCCGAUCGUGGGGGAUAACGCAGCGAAAGCUGCGCUAAUACCGCAUACGAUCUGAGGAUGAAAGCGGGGGACCGUAAGGCCUCGCGCGAUCGGAGCGGCCGAUGUCAGAUUAGGUAGUUGGUGGGGUAAAGGCCCACCAAGCCGACGAUCUGUAGCUGGUCUGAGAGGACAACCAGCCACACUGGGACUGAGACACGGCCCAGACUCCUACGGGAGGCAGCAGUGGGGAAUUUUGGACAAUGGGCGAAAGCCUGAGCCAGCAAUGCCGCGUGCAGGAAGAAGGCCUUCGGGUUGUAAACUGCUUUUGUACGGAGCGAAGAGGUCCUUUCUAAUACAAGGGGCUCAUGACGGUACCGUAAGAAUAAGCACCGGCUAACUACGUGCCAGCCGCCGCAGUAAGAC